CAAUGCCUCAAGUCACGGUUCUGCCAUUUUUCAAGCCGCCUGUGAUUGCUUCCUGCAAGGUUUUUUUUUUUUUUCCGCAUGAUAGCCAUUUUAAUAGUGCCUCCACAAAAAGUGAUGUUGGUGAUCAGAACUCCAGCCACACCGAGAUUAUUUGGUCACGGGAAAGCAGUUCCUAUUUUCCUCUGCUGGCUACCGUUACCUUCUGAGGUGGACUUGGGACACCAGGCAUCAAACGGUCUUGAGGAUCCACAGUUAACCUCCCAAGAAGGUUGGUAAGACUUGCAAGCCACCAUUUGCUAUUUUUUCCCAUUUCUCUCUAUGAUGUAACUGUGACUCUGGUCUUUGUUUCUCGGACGGAGAAAAGUGAGGUGCAGGCAGCUGAGUAUCACUGGUGACUCAGUAGUAGAAGCUAGUUUAGAAAGAAUCGUUGUUAUUUAGUUGCUCAGUUGUAUCCAACUCUUUGCAAACCCACAGAUGGUAGCCGACUCAGUUCCCGUGUCUAUGGGAUUCUCC
ensembl:lncRNA